UGACCCUCCACAGGAGGAUGAUCGGCGAAGGAUCAGUUAAAGUGCUGGCGAGCCAAUAGCCGAAACGUAACGUUCGAACAUAACCAUCGUUCAACUCACAAUACUACAAGGAACGACAAAAUAGAAAUGAAGGAAGAAUCCCAGGCAAUCUGGAUAACGAAAACUCCAUAACUAUGGACAGUCUUCACUCGUAAUCGUAAUAAGCGUAUUGCAGCUUGCCCCGGUCAGUAAUCG